rnacentral:rRNA from 1 species
UGCAGUCGAACGAAGCACUUUAUUUGAUUUCCUUCGGGACUGAUUAUUUUGUGACUGAGUGGCGGACGGGUGAGUAACGCGUGGGUAACCUGCCUUGUACAGGGGGAUAACAGUUGGAAACGGCUGCUAAUACCGCAUAAGCGCACGGCAUCGCAUGAUGCAGUGUGAAAAACUCCGGUGGUAUAAGAUGGACCCGCGUUGGAUUAGCUAGUUGGUGAGGUAACGGCCCACCAAGGCGACGAUCCAUAGCCGACCUGAGAGGGUGACCGGCCACAUUGGGACUGAGACACGGCCCAAACUCCUACGGGAGGCAGCAGCGGGGAAUAUUGCACAAUGGGCGAAAGCCUGAUGCAGCGACGCCGCGUGAGCGAAGAAGUAUUUCGGUAUGUAAAGCUCUAUCAGCAGGGAAGAUAAUGACGGUACCUGACUAAGAAGCACCGGCUAAAUACGUGCCAGCAGCCGCGGUAAUACGUAUGGUGCAAGCGUUAUCCGGAUUUACUGGGUGUAAAGGGAGCGCAGGCGGUGCGGCAAGUCUGAUGUGAAAGCCCGGGGCUCAACCCCGGUACUGCAUUGGAAACUGUCGUACUAGAGUGUCG